CUCAUGCGCUUUGGGAACGGGCCUGCUCUAAUACCAGAUGGUAUGGUGGAAAGAAAAAAGAGAAAUAGAAAAAUCAAAGAUCGAAUUGAUUGAAUAACAGGAAGCUUACAAUCCAAGCUUCUAGCUCUCUGGUGAAACCAAGAUUUUGAACAAAAUGAUAUCUAAGUCUGAAAGCAAAACCCUGAAUACGACCACUAUUUAUAAUAAAAGAUCUUACUAUUUAUAAUAAAAGAUCUUACUUAAAUUCCAAGUAAUCCUAAUUCUAAUUGAAAAAAAAGAAGUCUUGAUUACAACAAAAAAUUUUAUAACAUUUUUACCCUUGAUAAAAUAAAUAUUUCCAUAAUAACUCUUAACUAGCUUAAUCAAGCAUUGAUGUUGAGGCCUACCCAGCCUGUUCACCAAAUGGCUUCAUGCCCAAGCCCUCAAUCAAGUCCAUCCUUAGCCAUAUAUUCCACCCCUCGGCCUACCUCUUCACCCUUAAUUCCACCUCAACCUCCUUUCCCCCCUGGCUAUCAUUUUUUCCACAUUCCCCCUCUUGAAGGUCCCCUCCCCCUCUGCUACCGUACAAUCUCAGUGAAGAGCAUCCUUCUCCCCCACCCACACAUCUUUCCCUCCCCUUUGAUAACCCCUCUUCCUCCUAUUCCUCUUGUAUACCGGACUCUAGCUCUGUGGACGCAAAGCCCAAGCCCAUCCUCACGAGAUCCUUUUAGUGAUGGGCUUCCUGUGCAACAACCCUCAUGAAGCCUUUGAAGCCUACAUCAAUGCUGAUAGCGAAUCUAGAUGGCAGUGUAAGUUGAAGAAUGUCAAAGGUAAGGCUCCUGCCACCAAUUCGAGAGCAUCCUGGGAGCUAUUCAAACUAUUUCAAAGUAAGAUACGAGAAAAGAGAACCUUCAGCUAAGGUCCUCCCCAUUCCCUCAGCUCCUCAGCAUUCUCGUCACUCUACCAAGAGUGCCAUCCGCUCCGUAGCUGUGCUAUGAAGAUCCUUAUUUGGAAUAUAAGGGGUUUGGGCCACCUAGGAAAACGGCAAAAUAUUCGUCAAUUUAUUUCACAGUAUUCUCCGUCUCUUCUUGGUUUGGUGGAAACCAAGCUUUCUUCUCCCUCUCUCUCCCAAUUUAGAAUAUUUGGGGUUUUCCCUUGCCAGUGGUUAGCUCUGGAUGCAAUAGGACCUUCUAACGGUAUCUGGGUCCUCUAGUACCCAUCUCAACAUGCCUUAGUUGCCUCUCACAUUGUCAAGUUCUCUAUCACAGUGACCCUAGCUAGGAUCACAGAUUUCCUCCUUUGGAAGUGCAUUGUGGUCUAUGGACACAUCAAAGCGUGUGAGACUGGCCUGCCAUGUCAAUAAAAAAUCCUAAUUCUUUUAUUCCCUCUUUCACACGCAUGCACAUGGACAAACAAACAUUUAUAUUAUUUGAUCACAUCCGCACCCACAGACUCACCAUGCUUCAGAUGGUAAUGAAAUCCGAUAAACAAUUCCUAAUCAGACGAGGGGUGCUCCAUCAUGAUAAAUUCAUACUUGGUAUCACGCUAUUGAAGGUUUACUUGAGUACUUAUACUUCUUGAUUCUAGAACAACUAAAACUAGCUAUACUAAUAUAUAAUGUCCUCUGAUGUCAUUUCACAUAUACUUGAAACAGGCUCCGUAAGAUUUGUUUCUUGUUGAUCAGUUUUCUUUAGAAAUCUCUACUAAUGACCGAGUGCAAAAGAUAUGAGUAAGAGAUAUCUCAAAAGAUCUAAGGACAUUAGAUGAUCUCUUCUGUUACCUUAUUCUUUACCUCACCAAAUCAUGGGGUAGACCCUAUCUUGGCUGGAGCAUUAUGAAAAAGCUUGUGACUGAUAUUUAUUACAUGAAUAAUCGCUUUGUCAGACUGCAGUGGAGAAUUAUGAUGCAUGUGGAUUUAUUUCGUUUGGGUUUUAUGCCUAGAGGAUUCAUAAGAAGAUUCAAAACUUUUUGCUACAUGAUCCAUCUAUUUGGUUUCAUUUCACCUAGAAUUUGGUCAAAUUUGGUUAGUUGUUCAUAUUUCUCCCUCUUCUUGUGUGUGUGUUUGUGAGAGAGAUAGAUAGAUAGAUAGAUAGAUAGAUGAGAGAGAGAGAGAGAGAGAGAGAGAGAGAGAGAGAUUCAUAGAUGAUAUGAAUUGCAUCACAAGACAAAUAAUUUUGUUGACCUGGGAUUCGAUUCAUGCCCAUAAUCGGAUGGCAACCUGCCAAUGGAACAUUUGGUAGUAUGAAACGUUGGGAUUAGCGACCACAAAAGUAUAAAUAGCCAUUGAAUAUGGAAAAUGCAACUUUGUAUACUAUUUGUUUGCCUUUUCUGGUUGCAUUAUAGAUAUUUGUUGUUUGUUUUGUUAAACAAGAUGGUUUCUCUGGCAGUUAAACUUUUUCUCAAAAAAAAACAAGAUGGUUUCUCAGUUACCUCUAUUGUUAAAUCAAUGUAAUUUUUUGCCGGUGGUAGAGAUGGGAUUUACACUAGUAGUAUUGGCUCAUAUUUGGGAGAAUUCUGUGCCUGAUGAAAAGACCAGUAUGUUAUGCCAAGUGUGGAGGUCUUGCUGUUCAACCAUUGCGUGCAUGUUUUCAGCUCUGCUGCAGGAAGCUUGGUUGCUUGCUGUACAGGAACAUGCAUAGUUUAGUAUUUCACCCCCAUCAUGAUGCAUGGAGGACAUGUCCAUCUUCGAUGCCAUAAAAGAAGUUGUUCAUUUGCAUAGAGGGUGUAGAGUAAAGGGAGUUGCCAGCCCCACCUGCACCUCCUAUUUCCAAGCGUUCAAUAAUCGAAGGCAUCGAUGCAUGUAUCAGCGAGGCUAUGGAAGGCUACCAUGCUGAAACAUGGAGAGCUUGCUUCUGUGCACAUGUUUUGCUCCAUUUGCCAAGGUUCUCAUUUGAAACUGAAGGAACUAAGCAGGCAUUAGCAAAAGGAACUAAGCAGGCAUUAGCAAUUGCUUUUUGUAAAGCUUCAUUUUCACGUUUUCUUGACAUUCGAAGCAAGCCAGUGGCUUUGAGGAAACCCUUUUUGCUGGUUAUUGUAGCUCGUUAUAUAUGUUGCCCUGGUUAUAUAAAAAAGGUUUUGGAGAA